rnacentral:rRNA from 1 species
UGAAAAAAAAUAAAACAAUUAAUUAGCUGUCGAUAAUGUAUAGACAAUGAAAUAAGUAACCGAAACGCUAGAAGCUAAAUUAGCUUGGUAGCAGAGUGUUUUGUAAUUCGUUGAAGAUAAGUUGUUAAACUUGUUCGAGAAAUCAAAAUUAAUUAUACUAGCAUUAGUAACGUUAAAUAACGUCAGAUUCGUUAUCGCUGUAAGUCCUAGAGUUUGACCACCAGGGAUAUCCGUGGGCAGAACUAUAUCCCCUUAAAAAAAGAUGAAAGUCGUAUAUUUAAUGGGUUUUGUUGUCACUACUUUUGUUAUUUGUUAUUAAUAGUGUUUCAAACGAAGGGUAGCAUUUAAUAAAACAAGAAAUAAGUCAGCACGGUGGUAUUAUUCAUAAAAAAGUAGUACUCCGUAAAAUACAUAAAAUCCAACACCGGUGGACGGGUAGAGUAUACUAAAGCGAUGGAAGAAAGUAGGUGAAGGAACUUGGCAAAAUAACUCUGUAACUUCGGGAGAAGGAGGGCGUGUGUAGCGACUACUCUUAGAUUACUUUUAAAAAAUUUAACGGUAAUUUAGUUUAGGACUACAUAUGUAUCACGAAAAUAGGGAUAGCGACUGUUUACUAAAAACACAGGACUCUGCUAAAUUUUAUAAUGAUGUAUAGAGUCUGACGCCUGCCCAGUGCUGCAAGAUAAAAGAUUAUGAGUAAUUGCUCAUUGGUCUAAGUCCCAGUAAACGGCGGCUGUAACCCUGACGGUCCGAAGGUAGCGAAAUUCAUUGGCGGGUAAGUUCCGUCCUGCAUGAAUGGCGUAACGACUUUCCCACUGUCUCCAACUACUAUCCAGUGAAAUUGAAUAUUAGGUGAAAAUGCCUAGAAUGAGCAACGGGACGGAAAGACCCUAUGCACCUUUACUGGAACCUUAUAUAGAUUUAACUUUCUGGUACUAAACGGUAGGAAUAAUCCAUUAACCGUAUAUACUGAAAUUUACGUCUAAGUAACUAAUAAACGCGGCUCUGGUAAGUUUGAUCGAUUUAAAUAAACUUAAUCACGGUAGGUACAUUUAAACGUCACUGAAGGGGCUAAUAAAACUUAUGAAAUUGUAAGGAUGCCAGUUUCACUGGGGCGGUGGCCUCCUAAAAAGUAACGGGGGUGUACAAAGGUUUAAUAAAGCAUAUUCUUAUGCGUCUAUUAUAAUGAAUUUAGUUAAGCUUGAUUUUUAAACAGAUGUGUUUAAGAAGGGUGAGUUACUAAACUUGCCUGUCAUAGUGACCCAAUAAUAUUAUUUUCUUGAUAAAGUUAUUGAUUAUCGGAUAAAAGGUACGCUAGGGAUAACAGGCUAAUGAUUUCCAAGAGUUCCCAUCGACGAAAUCGAUUGGCACCUCGAUGUCGGCUCAUCAUAUCCUGGUUGAGAAUAAUCUUCCAAGGGUCGGCCUGUUCUGCCGUUAAAAUGGUACGUGAGCUGGGUUUAGAACGUCGUGAGACAGUUUGGUCCCUAUCUGUUGUUAAAAAGAAAAGUAGAAGAACCUUGCUUUAGUACGAGAGGACUGAGGUGGAUUAAUCUAUGGUUUGACGAUUGUUUUGAAAAUGCAUGUCGUUACGCUACAUUAAGACAAGAUAAUUACUGAAUACAAUAUUAAGUAAGAAGCUUCUCUUCUAACUUUUCUUACAGAUAAUUCAAAGACUAUGAAUUAGUAUAUGUUUUAAAUGGUACGCCACAAACACCUGGAGUUUAAAACAAUAUGUUAUCGAAUUCUUAAUGAU